AUGCUGAGAUUGGUGAGAAGCUUGUGCCUAAGUUUAAUUGAGACAACCACAUCCAUGUUGUUUCUUGGCAUGGGCAACCACAUCUAUGCUAAUAUUGCUCCUGAGCUCCUCUAUAGGUCUCUUGCUGUGAAGCUUGUGGUUGGCAUGACUUUCAAGUAUUCAAUUCUUGUGAGGGUGGAGUUGGAGAAGGUGGGGCGUCAGAGCAGAGCCAGUUGCAGCAUCCACGACCUCCUUGGGCAUGGCCAAUCCUGCCAGAUUGACCAGGUUGUAGGGUUUGGUCAGCAGUGUGUGUGGCCAGUGGUUGGAGCACACUGA
rnacentral:rRNA from 1 species